CAAUAGCGUAUAUUAAAGUUGUUGCAGUUAAAAAGCUCGUAGUUGGAUUUGUGGCGUACGGUGUGUACCGGGCACUUGUUGUCUGAGUAACCUGCUGUUGCCAUCCUUGGGUGGAACCUGUGUGGCAUUAGGUUGUCGUGCAGGGGAUGCCCAUCAUUUACUGUGAAAAAAUUAGAGUGUUCAAAGCAGGCUUAUGCCGUUGAAUAUAUUAGCAUGGAAUAAUGAGAUAGGACUUUUUUGCUAUUUUGUUGGUUUGCGCAAAGAGGUAAUGAUUAAUAGGGACAGUUGGGGGUAUUCGUAUUCCAUUGUCAGAGGUGAAAUUCUUGGAUUUUUGGAAGACGAACUACUGCGAAAGCAUUUACCAAGGAUGUUUUCAUUAA
rnacentral:rRNA from 1 species